GUAAACAGUAGUACAACAGUAUAACAGUAGUAGUAGUAGUAGUACAGUAAGUAAUAUCAGUUUGAAUUUGCAAGGUAAAAAAUGUUGCCCAAUCUUGGCAACAUUGGAAUGGGGUUUUUGCCCCCUCUUCUGAAGAAGAAGAAGGAGAAGAAAAAGAGAAGCAAUAAUAAUAACAUAACCUUCAAAUAAUUUGUAAACAAAAUAUAUAACGUGUUUGAAGUGCAGUGCUCAUACCAUGAGAGAAAUUUUUGCUAAAGAAGAGAAAGUACCGAAUAAAAUUUCAAUGAGGAUGUUGUGUAGUGUUCAAUUUUGACCUAGUGCUCUCGUCGGAAACUUCUUUCGUAUGAUUCCUCAAUAAACAACUACUUUGGUCAUCAGUUCGCUGUAUCAUAUCCACUGUGUCAUCUCUCAGUAUGGAUAAAAUCUUUGACUCUCCGAUACCAGAUCCUCCUCGAAUAGCUUUUGAAGUGAACAAAUUACAAGAGGCAAUCCUCCAGAAAAAGAGUGACCUUCUAGUCCUUAAAGAAAUAGACCAAUUGAAAACAUUAUGUGGUCAUAAAAAUCCUGUGGUGAAUUUGACUGCAAGCAAUGCAGUUGCCCAGUUGGUGGAAUGGAAGCGAAUAAAUUUGAUAACAGCAUACUCAUGGUUAUCGUCCAGUAUUUUGGGAGCAAAAAACCUAGGUGGUCUAAUUCAGUUAUCCAUCGAUUUAUUUCGGCUAGACCUCGCCCAAUGUAAAGAAAAUUCAAAUCCCACCUUUUUGAGGCAUUCUCUUGAGCAUCCUCUCGUGCACAUUUUCGAUCACCCCGAGCAAGUAAGCCGAUUCACGGUCCUAGUUGCAGUCCGAUACAUCUGUGAAAAUCUGCAUCCACAUGGCAAAAGCUUUCAGCUUGUUAAGCCUGUAUUUGAGCAUAUUUUUUCUUGCAAUGGAUUGGCCGUGUCUCUUCGCAAUGCCGCAUGGGAUGUUCUUGUAGACUCAGGGGAAAUCCAGCAGUUGACUGAGUUUUUGUCACAAUUCGUCCAUUUGGCUCAGUCAGAUGCAGCAUAUGAGUACUUGCACAUCGUUGAUAAAUUGCUGGAGAAAUCGUCCUACCCAGUGGUCGAAACUCUGCUCAUUUCUCUGACUCCAAUCAUUGCAAGCGUUAUUCAUCACCUUAUCAAAACCGGAGCCCUCUUUGAAGAAGCUCUACACAAGCUGGAAAUAAUUGUCCUAAAAUCACCACAAGCUGCAAGUUUAGUUCUAUCAAUUCUCGCUGAAACACUUUCUUUUAGCUCCACGCGGCAUCUAUUGUCUGUGUUAAUCACUUGUCUGAGUAUUAUGAAGACUGUGCGCUGCUCAACCAUAUCAGAACACAUGUUGGUUGCGUCUCUAGCAAGGUGGCUCAUCCAACCAUUGCAAUUAUGUCCUGAGUUCCCAGAAUUGGCAUCUGCUAUUAUUGGAAUUGUAUUUUCAAGAAAAGACUUUUACAAUCAAUCGUCAGAUUUUUGUAAAAAUUAUACCUUCCAAUUAAUAUCAUCUUCGCACAGAAUCGUCCAGAAAUCCGUCCUUAUUCAUAGAUUAGGAGAGAACUUACCUUCCAAGGAAAACCAUUUGAAACUUUGGCUUGAUUCUAGAAACACAAAAUUUGCAGAAUUUUCGCUUUUCCUUGGUGCUUUGUUGAUAAGUUACGAAGAUAGAGCAAUGAAAGAAAAGGUCAUCAGAAACUUAUCGGAGCUUAGACUGGAUCAGCACCUUGCACUGUUGGUUUUUCAAUUGGUGCGAGAGAAGGAUCCUAAAGUACAAUCGACACUUUUAACUUCAAUGCACCUCUGUAUCAACAAAGAUAAUCAAGAAAACAAAAUGAUUUUCCUUCAAAUUCUGAAGGGCUUAAGUGCAAGUAGUGAUUCCCUUCUCAGAGAACAGUCCAUUUACUUACAUUUUCUAUUUUGGAAAAUCGAGCGCCGCUGUUUCCCGUUUUUACACACUCUUCUUGUGUCAGACGAUGUUUCUUCCUAUGAAAUCGAGCUCACAAAAGCCAAAGUCAUCAAUGAAAUCUGUAAAAUAAGGUAUCAACAAUAUUUUUCUCUUUUAGAGAUUGUGUAUUGCCUGCAAGUUUUUUCAUUAUACUAGCCGUUGUGGAUGCGCUUCGCGCGUCCAC
rnacentral:lncRNA from 1 species